AUUGAACGCUGGCGGCAUGCCUUACACAUGCAAGUCGAACGGUAACGCGGGGCAACCUGGCGACGAGUGGCGAACGGGUGAGUAAAGCAUCGGAACGUGCCCAGUAGUGGGGGAUAGCCCGGCGAAAGCCGGAUUAAUACCGCAUACGACCUAUGGGUGAAAGGGGGGGAUCGCAAGACCUCUCGCUAUUGGAGCGGCCGAUGUCAGAUUAGGUAGUUGGGGGGGUAAAGGCCUACCAAGCCGACGAUCUGUAGCUGGUCUGAGAGGACGACCAGCCACACGGGGACUGAGACACGGCCCAGACUCGUACGGGAGGCAGCAGUGGGGAAUUUUGGACAAUAGGCGCAAGGCUGAUCCAGCCAUGCCGCGUGCGGGAAGAAGGUCUUCGGGUUGUAAACCGCUUUUGUCAGGGAAGAAAUCCUUUGGGUUAAUACCUCGGGGGGAUGACGGUACCUGAAGAAUAAGCACCGGCUAACUACGUGCCAGCCGCCGCGGUAA
rnacentral:rRNA from 1 species